GGACCCGCACAAGUAGUGGAGCAUGUGGUUUAAUUCGAUGAUACGCGAGGAACCUUACCAGGGCUUAAAUGUAGUGGGACAGGUCUAGAGAUAGACCCUUCUUCGGACUCAUUACAAGGUGCUGCAUGGUUGUCGUCAGCUCGUGCCGUGAGGUGUCAGGUUAAGUCCUAUAACGAGCGCAACCCCUAUCGUUAGUUGCCAGCGAGUAAUGUCGGGAACUCUAACGAAACUGCCAGUGCAAACUGUGAGGAAGGUGGGGAUGACGUCAAAUCAUCACGGCCCUUACGUCCUGGGCUACACACGUGCUACAAUGGCCGGUACAGAGAGCAGCCACUUCGCAAGAAGGAGCGAAUCCUUAAAACCGGUCUCAGUUCGGAUCGGGGUCUGCAACUCGGCCCCGUGAAGUCGGAAUUGCUAGUAAUCG
rnacentral:rRNA from 1 species